CAGUGGCAGUGUUUAUCGGGAAUUGGGGUCGCUUCGGACCCUCCUGCCGCUCCACAGCGCGGUUUCUUCAGCUCGGUUGAUCUCGAGGCUUGGGAUCGAUGCCUGCGGGAGCUCCUCGUCGAGGUCCUUGUCCCAGGAGCUGGGUCUUUCGGUGCCUCGAUAAAAGAUCUUGCAGCAUUAGGUGAAGUUUGCUUCCAGCUGAGUCUUUCGGUGCCUUGAUAAAAGAUCUUGCAGCAUUAGGUGAAGUUUGCAUCCAUCUUUGUCCCUCUGAUGGGAUCAUGGUCAUUUAUCUUUUAUGAACGGUUCACGCAAGUUCUGAUACAAUAAGGAUUAGUCAUAGACAUUCUAUAGCUUGCCUCCAACUUGUAGUGCACGAUACAUUUGCUGUAAUUUACUUUCUUACUUCACAUUUGUUACUUCUUCA